AGACCGAUAGCGAACAAGUAGAGUGAUCGAAAGAUGAAAAGCACUUUGAAAAGAGGGUUAAAUAGCACGUGAAAUUGUUGAAAGGGAAGGAUUUGUGACCAGACUUUUUCUGGGCGGAUCAUCCGGGGUUCUCUCCGGUGCACUUCGCCCAGUAAAGGCCAGCAUCGGUUUUCGGCGUGGGAUAAAAGCAGUAGGAAUGUGGCUCUCUACGGGGAGUGUUAUAGCCUAUUGUAUAAUACCGCGCUGGGGACCGAGGUUCGCGCUUCUGCAAGGAUGCUGGCGUAAUGAAGUAUCAAUCACCCGUCUUGAAACACGGACCAAG
rnacentral:rRNA from 1 species